AUUGAACGCUGGCGGCAUGCUUUACACAUGCAAGUCGAACGGUGACAGGCCGCAUGGUUCUGACGGGUUGCGAACGGGUGGGUAAUGCAUCGGUACGUGCCCAGUCCUUGAGGAUAACUACUCGAAAGGGUAGCUAAUACCGCAUACGAUCUAUAGAUGAAAGCGAUGUACCGUAAGGCGUCGGACGAUUGGGUCGGCCGAUGUCAGGUGAGGUAGUUGGUGGGGUAAAGGGUCACGAAGCCAACGAUCGGUAGCUGGUAUGAGUGGACGACAGGCCACCCUGGAACUGAGACACGGACAAGACUACUACGGGAGGCCGCAGUGGGGAACUUUAGACAAUGGGCGCAAGCAUGAUCCAGCAAGGCAGCGUGCAGGAAGAAGGCGUUGGGGUUGUAAAGUGGUUUUGUACGGAACGAAACGGUUCUGGUUAAUAACCGGGGAUAAUGACGGUACCGGAAGAAUAAGCACCGGCUAACUACGUG
rnacentral:rRNA from 1 species